UUUUUGUUAUCAUUCUGUUUUUUAUAUUUAAAACUUCUUUACCAAUCUAGACCUACCAUCACAGGUUGAUAAUCCUAGCUACUUAGGAGGCUGAGGCAGGAAGAUCACAAGUUCACGACCUGCCAGGGCUAGAUAGUGAGGUCAAGUUUAUUUUGGGCAUCUAAGUGAGUUCCUGUCUCAAAAUUUAAAAGUUAAAAAAAAAAAAGGUCUGAGAUGCAGCUUUAUGGCAGAGUGCUUGCCCAUCCUGUAGGGAGGCCCUAGGUGUAAUCCCUAGAACUACAAAACGUCACUAGUGCAACCCUCCAUCCCUCCCACUGGAUCAAGGCAUGGUUGAUAGUCACUGAUUUCACAGAGAUGGCCAUAUAUCCUGGUUUACAAUUCCUUCUUCAUUUAUUUACUUAUUUACUUAUUUGGGAGGGGGGACUCACGUGCCACAGUGUGCAUGUGGAGGUCAGAGGACAGCUUGUAGAAGUCUGUUCUUUCAGCCUAUCAUGUGGGCUCUGGGGACUGAGUUCAAACACCCUUCCCCACUGAGUCAUCUUCCCACCCUCUUCACUCAUGACAAAGCCUUUUCUGUAGUCCAUGUGGGCAAGGCAGAGGUAGGGUGUAGUUCCUUUCUCCUUCUACACAAUCUUCAUAAGCUGACUCACCAGUGUUUGUUAGUUCUGUAGCCGGUAGUUUGUUAGUAUGCCCCCAUGUUGUGAUUUAAUACAUUUAUUGUGUUCAGUCUUGCAAUGUAGUGAUUCUUUUUGGUGAUUAAUUUGCUCACCAGGGACCAGUGCCCCCUGUAGGCUCAAGCUUUUGGCAAGUGCACAGGAUUAAGGGACUGGGCUCACAUUUGCCAAGCUGAGAACAAAGCUGUGCUUCCCAACCUGGGAGUCACAACCCACAGACUGCAUAUCGGAUAUUACAUUAUGAUCACAGCAAAACUGCAGCUAUGAAGUAGCAACAAAAAUAACUUUAUGGUUGGGAGUCACAACAACAUGAGGAACUGUAUUAAAGGGUCACAGCAUUAGGAAGGCUGAGAACCUCUAGUGAAUGGUUGACUGUGGGCACCCAAGGAGUUGUUGGAACAGCAUUAGAAGGUCACAUUGUCCAUUUCCCAGAAGAGACAUUUUUCUAGAGGUCAUGGCAUUCCUGACAUUGUGCAAUCUCCCCACUUUAUAACAGGAGAGCGGAGACACAGAAAACUAAAGCGCCCCCUUCCCCGCCCCCAAACCUAGGGAGUCAAUAAAGACAACCGGGAAAACAAACGUUGGCCUUGGGUUCCUGGGAGCCAAUAAAGGAGUGAGCAUGGGGAGGGGAGAGCAUUCCAGGUCUCAGGAGAUGCUUUGUAAGCUCACUCAGGGAAUGCAGGAGUGAAUUCAGAGAAGCCUGCCUUCAACCAAGCAUGGAGUAGGGGAGGCAGCAGCAACGCCAUCUUGGGAAACUGGGAUGUCUCCAUGACAAAGAAGUGGCUUACAGACCCGAAGGUGACUGCCAGGUUCAGCUGAAGGGCUUGCAUAGCUGAACACACUGGCUUCCUAUAGACCUCAUCUAUGGACUUGUUUGCCUCCUACCUCCUUGGGACCUCAGCGCCCUGAGAAUGGAGAGCUCCCAGUGACUCAGUGGGUGCAUUUUUGGCCCUAACCAGAUACUCAGUAACUAUUCUUAGCGAUUGUGUGGUCCAGCACCUGCCUGUCCCUACCAGGGGUACCCUUCUCCCUUCCUUUGCUUUGCUCUUUGUAUUUCUAAGACAGGUUGUUUGUUACCAGGUGGUUUCUAACCUGUGGGAGCAGAGUACUAACUCUCUGUUCAGGAGCAGUAUUGGGAAAGUCUCUGCAAGCUGCUGGCAUCACUCAAGGUCCAGUGUACAGCAAUGACCUUGAACAUUGCUUCUGGAUAAAGGAAUUGCUGUUAUCUCAAGCUGCUUAAAUUGAAGUUUAUAAUUUAUGAGCAUUAUAUUUAUAUUAUAUGUUAUAAUUUAUACUAUAUAUAAUAUAUAUAGUAUAAUUUAUACAGUUUAAAAAUUUUACAACAUAAAAUUUACCAUUUUAAAAUGAAGAGCUGGGUCUCCUGAGUUGGCUCAGUGAUUAAGAGUCCUUGUCACCCUUCCAGAAGUCUCAGCACCAACACAGUGGCUCGUAACGGUCUGUAAUGACUCUGGUCCCAGGGGAUCUGACACUCUCUUAUGACCUCUGAAGGCACCAGGCAUGCACAUGGUGCACAGACUCACAGGAAAGCAAAACACACAUACAAAUAAAGUAAUAAAAUGCAUAAAGCUAAAGAACUUGAAAAGGAGAGAGUGAGCAGUUAGCGGUGUUCCACGCACUCACUGUGCUUGCCAUGGCGCCUCUAUCAAAGCGACUUUAGUAUUUACUUCUCGGUUGAAGAGUUAUUGAGGGAUACAGAUGCACCAAACUUCUCUGGAACCCUGUGAGAAAGCAGCAACUGUUUCAUAUGUGAUCACCCCACUUUCUGUCAAAGGUCCUGACCAACCCCUGUGACAAAUGACAAUUAUCUUGUGGCUCUGCAGGGUCUUUGGCCCCCUUCCUUCUUCCCUGGGCAUGCUCCUUUCUAGGAACUGCAUUUAAUUUAGUAAAGCUCAAAGAAGGAAUUUAUAAUUCUUUAGAAAUUAUCUUAGUGUUAUUUAAUUAUGCGUAUAUGUAUGUCUCUGUGUGGGUAUGUGCAUGUGAGGAUGGGCGCCUGGUAGAAUUCAGAAUGAGGCUUCAGAUCUCUGGGAACUACAGUUAGAGGCAGCUGUGGUCCACUAGAAUGUCACAUGAACUUGUGAGUCACCUGAUGUGGGUGAUGGGAACUGAAUCCAAUCGUCUGCAACAGUGCUCUUAACCACUGAGCUGUCUUCAUAGCCCCAAAUUGCAAGUCUUACAGAGAUGAAGUAGCUAACAUCCCACUCCAAGAAACCAAAUUACAUAAAAGAACUAAUAAUAAUAAAAGAAACUAAUUCAUUCAGUGUAUAUGUAUUUAGACUUACUGUGUUACCCGCUUUCAGUCUAUAGUAAUGAACAAAACAGACAUGAAUCCCACCAAGAUUUUUUUUUUUACAACAGUCAAAGCAAGAGAGCUUAUAUGUUUACUAAAAAACCUCCC
rnacentral:lncRNA from 1 species